rnacentral:rRNA from 2 species
UCUACGGGAGGCAGCAGUAGGGAAUCUUCCACAAUGGACGAAAGUCUGAUGGAGCAACGCCGCGUGUGUGAUGAAGGGUUUCGGCUCGUAAAGCACUGUUGUAAGAGAAGAAUGACAUUGAGAGUAACUGCUCAAUGUGUGACGGUAUCUUACCAGAAAGGAACGGCUAAAUACGUGCCAGCAGCCGCGGUAAUA